rnacentral:rRNA from 1 species
GACGAACGCUGGCGGCGUGCCUAACACAUGCAAGUCGAACGCAGUUGCGAACGGGUUAGUAACGCGUAGGUACCUGCCUGGUCGCGGGGGCUAACUCUUGGACCCGAUAGCUAAUACUGCAUACUACCCGAUGGACCUGCGUUGUAUUAGCUAGUUGGUGAGGUCACGGCUCACCAAGGCAACGAUACAUAGCCGACCUGGGAGGGUGAGUGGCCACACUGGGACUGGGACACGGCCCAGACUCCUACGGGGAGGAACAGUAGGGAAACUUGGGCAAUGGGGGGAAACCUGACCGAGCAACGGCGCGUGGGGGAAGAAGGUUUUCGGGUCGGAAAAGUCGGUUGUGAAGGAAGCGGUACUGAACCAAGAAGGAACGGCUAACUACGUGCCAGCAGCCGCGGUAAUAC